rnacentral:rRNA from 1 species
GAGUUUGAUCAUGGCUCAGAGUGAACGCUGGCGGCAGGCCUAACACAUGCAAGUCGAACGGCAGCACAGAGGAGCUUGCUCCUUGGGUGGCGAGUGGCGGACGGGUGAGGAAUGCAUCGGAAUCUGCCUAUUUGUGGGGGAUAACGUAGGGAAACUUACGCUAAUACCGCAUACGUCCUACGGGAGAAAGUGGGGGACCUUCGGGCCUCACGCAGAUAGAUGAGCCGAUGCCGGAUUAGCUAGUUGGCGGGGUAAAGGCCCACCAAGGCGACGAUCCGUAGCUGGUCUGAGAGGAUGAUCAGCCACACUGGAACUGAGACACGGUCCAGACUCCUACGGGAGGCAGCAGUGGGGAAUAUUGGACAAUGGGCGCAAGCCUGAUCCAGCCAUGCCGCGUGAGUGAAGAAGGCCUUCGG